GGUUGAUCCUGCCAGUAGUCAUAUGCUUGUCUCAAAGAUUAAGCCAUGCAUGUGUAAGUAUAAGUAUUGUACGGCGAAACUGCGAAUGGCUCAUUAAAUCAGUUAUUGUUUAUUUGAUAAUCGAAAGUUACAUGGAUAACCGUGACAAAUUACAGCUAAUACAUGCAACAAGACCACGCAAGUGGUUGUAAUUAUUAGUAUUAAACCAAUUCCUUCGGGAAUGUGAUGAAUCAUAGUAAUCGAACGAAUCGCAGAUUUCUGCGAUAAAUCAUUCAAGUUUCUGCCCUAUCAG
rnacentral:rRNA from 1 species